rnacentral:rRNA from 1 species
UAAAAUAGCUAACUACCACCUUGAGGAUGCCCAAACACGCCUGACCUCAGAAGCUAAGCAGGGCUGGGGUUGGUUAGAACUUGGAUGGGAGAUCGCUGACAAUACUAGGUGCCAUAGUGG